rnacentral:lncRNA from 1 species
ACUUCAGAGUUCUGAGACAAAAGGCAGAACCGUCCGUCAAGAGCCGUGGUCCUUCAGAAGGCAACUUUACACCACAGCCGUGGGAUUCCGUGGGGAGGUCGCAGUGUGGACAGAAGACCCAGCAGUAGCACCAAAGGCUUCCGGACUCCUGAGAGGCCCUGGAGGGUGCAGCCUUCGGGAGGAGGCUGAGGCAAGCCCACACAUCUGAGGCACAGGAAUUGUGUCCUUCAGUUUGGUGAAUUCUUCCAUCUGGAUGCUGUGGAAAGAAGAAUGUGCUUCCAUGAGAACCUGAUGAAAAGCAUUUUCCUCCUUCGAAUCAGCAAACUCAUGUUUACUGUUCAAGUUCAUGAUGAGAUAGGUAAGUUAAAAUGGGGUCAUUAGAGUGGGCCCUAAUCCAAUGUGACUGAUGUCCUUAUAAGAAGAGAUCAGGACACACGGAGAGACACUAAGGGCACAA